UUCUGUGUGGCGCAAUGGUAGCGCGUCUGACUUCUAAUCAGAAGGUUACGGGUUCGAGUCCCGUCAUGGAAA
rfam:Fragilariopsis cylindrus CCMP1102 unplaced genomic scaffold FRACYscaffold_21, whole genome shotgun sequence.